ensembl:ncRNA C27C12.10 ncRNA
UCGCUUGCUCGGUCUGUAGAUUGUAGGCGGAGCUCGACAUUUGAUUGGAGAGCCCGAUGGUUAGCGUACAGCCGGCUGGCUGGAUGCAAAUCGACCGAGCCAGGGCGGAUGUGCACAAUAUUGUGCAUCUGAUUCAAAGCCCCACUUUUGUUUAUUUUUCAAGACGAGUAAGAUGCUUCUUGGCCCCCAUCAUACCGGAAAUUGUCACAUAAUUGUAUAUGCAAUAUUGUGAACCCCCCUUUUCCCGUCCCGUGUAAUGAGCCCACCACAUGUCAAA